UCCCUGGUGGCUUAGAUCAUAAAGAAUCUGCCUGUAAUGCAGAAGACCCAGGUUUGAUCCCUGGGUUGGGAA
rnacentral:tRNA from 1 species